AAAAUAAAAUGUUUGAUAACUUUUUCAAAUUGGCACAUUAUCUUUAGAAAUGCAUAGGGUCAAGAAAUAUAAAUGAAAAACAUUAAGAUUCUUAUGUGAUGACGUCACAAUUACGUCAUAAUAUGUACUGUUUCACAAAAAACUAUGAAAAUUCAGAAUUUUAUGCAGUUUUCUAUCUUUAUUUCUGUUGUGGAAACAUCGUGCGCAGCCAAGAAACAACAAAAUAAUUAACUGAAGCUUUAUUAUUACUAUUGACAAAAUCUCACCAAAUAUAAAGUUGUUUCUUGGUGCGCACAUACUUUUCCAAUCGAAAAUUUACUUAAAAAUUUGAUGUAAAACAAGGAAAA
rnacentral:lncRNA from 1 species